rnacentral:rRNA from 1 species
GACGAACGCUGGCGGCGUGCUUAACACAUGCAAGUCGAACGGAAAGGCCCUUCGGGGUACUCGAGUGGCGAACGGGUGAGUAACACGUGGGUGAUCUGCCCUGCACUUUGGGAUAAGCCUGGGAAACUGGGUCUAAUACCGAAUAGGACCACGCGCUUCAUGGUGUGUGGUGGAAAGCUUUUGCGGUGUGGGAUGGGCCCGCGGCCUAUCAGCUUGUUGGUGGGGUAAUGGCCUACCAAGGCGGCGACGGGUAGCCGGCCUGAGAGGGUGACCGGCCACACUGGGACUGAGAUACGGCCCAGACUCCUACGGGAGGCAGCAGUGGGGAAUAUUGCACAAUGGGCGCAAGCCUGAUGCAGCGACGCCGCGUGAGGGAUGACGGCCUUCGGGUUGUAAACCUCUUUCACCAGGGACGAAGCGUAAGUGACGGUACCUGGAGAAGAAGCACCGGCCAACUACGUG